AAUGAACGUUGGCGGCGUGGAUUAGGCAUGCAAGUCGAGCGAGAAUUUGCGAUUGGAAGCUUCGGCCGAAGAAAGUGAAGGAAAGCGGCAAACGGCGUAGUAAGGCGUAGGUACGUACCCUCGGGUCGGGAAUAGCCAUGGGAAACCGUGGGUAAUGCCCGAUAAUCUCUGCGGAGCAAAGGUGUGAUUCCGCCGGAGGAGCGGCUUACGUGAUAUUAGCUAGUUGGUGGGGUAAUGGCCUACCAAGGCAACGAUGUCUAGGGGGUGUGAGAGCAUGGCCCCCACGACCGGAACCGAGACACUGUCCGGACACCUACGGGUGGCUGCAGUCGAGAAUCUUCCGCAAUGGGCGAAAGCCUGACGGAGCGACGCCGCGUGGUGGAUGAAGGCCCUUGGGUUGUAAACACCUGUCAGAGGGGAUGGAAAUCAUGGUUGGCAAUCCUUCCAUGUUGACAGAGCCUCAGAGGAAGCACGGGCUAAGUACGUGCCAGCAGCCGCGGU
rnacentral:rRNA from 1 species